AACGCACGAGACCUGCGGACCUGCGGAAGGAUCAUUAGUGGACGCCCUCACGGGCUUAUAACUAUUCCAAACCUCUGUGAACCGUGCCCUUCGGGGCUAUUUUACAAACAUGGUGUAAUGAACGUCAUAUAUCAUAACAAAACAAAACUUUCAACAAUGGAUCUCU
rnacentral:misc_RNA from 1 species